AUUGAACGCUGGCGGCAGGCCUAACACAUGCAAGUCGAACGAGUGGCGGACGGGUGAGUAAUGUCUGGGAAACUGCCCGAUGGAGGGGGAUAACUACUGGAAACGGUAGCUAAUACCGCAUACCAUCGGAUGUGCCCAAAUGGGAUUAGCUAGUAGGUGGGGUAAUGGCUCACCUAGGCGACGAUCCCUAGCUGGUCUGAGAGGAUGACGAGCCACAUUGGAACUGAGACACGGACGAGAAUCCUACGGGAGGCAGCAGUGGGGAAUAUUGGACAAUGGGCGCAAGCCUGAUGCAGCCAUGCCGCGUGUGGGAAGAAGGCCUUCGGGUUGUAAAGCACUUUCAGCGGGGAGGCGUUACCCGCAGAAGAAGCACCGGCUAACUCCGUGCCAGCAGCCGCGGUAAUAC
rnacentral:rRNA from 1 species